rnacentral:lncRNA from 1 species
GGGUUACCUCACUCAGGAUGAUAUUUUCCAGUUCCAUCCAUUUGCCUACGAAUUUCAUAAAGUCAUUGUUUUUGAUAGCUGAGUAAUAUUCCAUUGUGUAGAUGUACCACAUUUUCUGUAUCCAUUCCUCUGUUGAAGGGCAUCUGGGUUCUUUCCAGCUUCUGGCUAUUAUAAAUAAGGCUGCAGUGAACAUAGUGGAGCAUGUGUCAUUUUUAUAUGUUGGGGCAUCUUUUGGGUAUAUGCCCAAGAGAGGUAUAGCUGGAUCCUCAGGCAGUUCAAUGUCCAACUUUCUGAGGAAUCUCCAGACUGAUUUCCAGAAUGGUUGUAUCAGUCUGCAACCCCACCAACAAUGGAGGAGUGUUCCUCUUUCACCGCAUCCUUGCCAGCAUUUCCUGUCACCUGAGUUUUUGAUCUUAGCCAUUCUCACUGGUGUGAGGUGAAAUCUCAGGGUUGUUUUGAUUUGCAUUUCCCUUAUGACUAAAGAUGUUGAACAUUUCUUUAGGUGUUUCUCAGCCAUUCGGCAUUCCUCAGCUGUGAAUUCUUUGUUUAGCUCUGAACUCCAUUUUUUAAUAGCAUCCUGACACUUAUUUGUAACUAAUUUUACAAGAGAGCCAUCAGCUGGACACUGGGAUCAGCUACUUGUUGAAAAUUU